rnacentral:ncRNA from 1 species
UCCGCAGCAGGUCUCCAAGGUGAACAGCCUCUAGUCGAUGGACCAAUGUAGGUAAGGGAAGUCGGCAAAACGGAUCCGUAACCUUGGGAUAAGGAUUGGCUCUGAGGACUGAGCCGGUCGGGCUGGGGACCUGAAGCAGGAACGGCACUGCACCGGGACUGGGCGGGGCUCGCCGUUCACGCGGCGCGGCCAAGCCCGGACCAGCGUCGGGACCUUCCUGUGGAAAGCCUCAGCUGCGCGGCGUCUGAGGGCUUCGUGCCCAAAGUGCUAUGCUUCGGCCGGCAAAAAACAGUCAACUCAGAACUGGCACGGACCGGGGGAAUCCGACUGUCUAAUUAAAACAAAGCAUUGCGAUGGCCGCUGGUCGGUGUUGACGCAAUGUGAUUUCUGCCCAGUGCUCUGAAUGGUCGGGGUUCCAAGUCUGGAGUCCUGGCCGUCUGCCCGUAUGACGCCAUAACUGCCCCAGACUGGAUGGCCGCCUGGCUGAGGCCUAUGCAAGUCCAGUACUAGGACAAUCGGUGAGGGCCUUUGUCCCCUUGCUUGCGCCCUGUGCAGCGGCCGGGCUCUACCCGUGUUCCUAGGAGCACGGGAUUUUUCGGGUCCCUCUGCCCAGUCACCUCAGAGUGACAAUCCUAAGCUUCUUCAUUAGGUUCCGGGGAAAGACCACCCUGAGGCCUUCCACGGCCUUGUUGCGGGGGGUUGGGUUUGUCUUCGCCCUUCCCCCCUCUCUUGGACCCCCGUCCUAUUUAACAUCUCUGGGCGGGGAGCCUCUUGGCCUCGUUUGGCCUCGGGGUUCCUGCUGCACUCUUGGAGAA